rnacentral:lncRNA from 1 species
GCUGUAGAGUCCUGUGAGCAGCCCAGCAUCUGGAACACAGCUGAUGGAGAGGCUCCUGGACAGCAGCAUACUCAGAGAGGAGGGGAAAGGAGGGUGAGAUAGAGUUGCUGAAGCAGGCUGCAGAUCCCUGGAGGGAGACUUCCUACCACUGAGCAAGUGAUGACAGGCUGAAUGGACAGCUGACUCCUGACCAGAGAACUCUCGCCCCUGGGUGAUGACGUGAAGGCCUCUUGAGCCUUCUCAAGCUCAGGGAUUUUAUCUGGAGUCAGGAGAGAAGAUUGAUGGUUGUAAGAGUCAGAUCUGAGUUGUGGCAGUCAGAGGUUCCGGACAGUGGAGAAGAUGCACGUGACAGUCAAUUCCUGCCCACCACACAUGCCAUCCUGGCUUGUCCUGGGGAGGCUCUCAGGCUGGGUACCUGAUCCCUGGGGAGAACAGCAAGAAUGGUGGCCUGAGAACAAACAUUCUGAGAGCACUGCUCAGAGACAGCGCUGGGAAAUGGGCAUCCAAUCAGAGAAAAGCUCUGAGCAGGCCUCCCAGGCCUUGGAGGAAGAGGGAGGUUCCCACUGA